GUCAAGUCAUCAUGCCCCUUAUGCCCAGGGCUGCAAACACGCUACAAUGGGCGGUACAAAGGGCUGCGAUCCCGCGAGGGUGAGCGAAUCCCACAAAGCCGGUCUCAGUUCGGAUUGGAGUCUGCAACUCGACUCCAUGAAGUCGGAGUCGCUAGUAAUCGCGGAUCAGCAAAGCCGCGGUGAAUGCGUUCUCGGGGAUU
rnacentral:rRNA from 1 species